rnacentral:rRNA from 1 species
AUUGAACGCUGGCGGCAUGCCUUACACAUGCAAGUCGAACGGUAACAGGUUAAGCUGACGAGUGGCGAACGGGUGAGUAAUGUAUCGGAACGUGCCCAGUCGUGGGGGAUAACUACUCGAAAGAGUGGCUAAUACCGCAUACGACCUGAGGGUGAAAGCGGGGGACCGUAAGGCCUCGCGCGAUUGGAGCGGCCGAUAUCAGAUUAGCUAGUUGGUGGGGUAAAAGCCCACCAAGGCGACGAUCUGUAGCUGGUCUGAGAGGACGGCCAGCCACACUGGGACUUAGACACGGCCCAGACGCCUACGGGAGGCAGCAGUGGGGAAUUUUGGACAAUGGACGCAAGUCUGAUCCAGCCAUGCCGCGUGCGGGAAGAAGGCCUUCGGGUUGUAAACCGCUUUUGUCAGGGAAGAAACGAGUUUCUCUAAUACAGAGACUUAAUGACGGUACCUGAAGAAUAAGCACCGGCUAACUACGUGCCAGCAGCCGCGGUAAUAC